UUGGCCGUCUCGACGAAGCCAGGUCUGGCCAUCACCUUCCUGGCCGCGCGCGUUCUUCUUCUACUCGGAGCACCGUCGACUGUCUCGGUUCUGCAUCACCGGGACACCUUCCUCUGCUUCCUCCCUCGCCGGCCGAACUCCUUCGCCCGCUGCCAUAGUGCCCUGCCCCUGCGAUGGCCGUGCGUAUCCUUCUGUUCCACAUCGCUGCGCCAUCCUUCACCUCGCCCGGUUGUGCUUUGUUGCGCCGUCGGGUGCUCCUGGUCCUGCGCCGUCAACCUGCCAUGCGAGCUAGCUCCACCUCGCCUGCUCGUGUUUCUCUCUGUCGUGCGCUAUUGCUGCGUCGGGCAUCCAUGGCCGCAGGCGAUAACCUGCUCGGCCUAA
rnacentral:misc_RNA from 1 species